rnacentral:rRNA from 1 species
CACGUAGGGCGCAAGCGUUGUCCGGAAUUAUUGGGCGUAAAGAGCUCGUAGGCGGUCUGUUACGUCUGCUGUGAAAACCCUGGGCUUAACCCUGGGCUUGCAGUGGAUACGGGCAGACUAGAGGCAGGUAGGGGAGAAUGGAAUUCCUAGUGUAGCGGUGAAAUGCGCAGAUAUCAGGAGGAACACCGGUGGCGAAGGCGGAUCUCUGGGCCUUACCUGACGCUCAGGUGCGAAAGCUAGGGGAGCGAACAGG